AGAGUUUGAUCCUGGCUCAGGACGAACGCUGGCGGCGUGCCUAACACAUGCAAGUCGAGCGAGGUGAGUUCCUUCGGGAACAAACCUAGCGGCGGACGGGUGAGUAACACGUGGGCAACCUACCUUAUAGAGGGGAAUAGCCUCCCGAAAGGGAGAUUAAUACCGCAUAAGAUUGCACUUUCGCAUGAAAGAGCAAUUAA
rnacentral:rRNA from 1 species